UACGUAGGGUGCAAGCGUUGUCCGGAAUUAUUGGGCGUAAAGAGCUCGUAGGCGGUUUGUCGCGUCUGCUGUGAAAACCCGAGGCUCAACCUCGGGCCUGCAGUGGGUACGGGCAGACUAGAGUGCGGUAGGGGAGAUUGGAAUUCCUGGUGUAGCGGUGGAAUGCGCAGAUAUCAGGAGGAACACCAAUGGCGAAGACAGAUCUCUGGGCCGUAACUGACGCUGAGGAGCGAAAGCAUGGGGAGCGAACAGG
rnacentral:rRNA from 1 species